GGGGAUGUAGCUCAGUGGUAGAGCGCAUGCUUUGCAUGUAUGAAGUCCUGGGUUCAACCCCCAGCAUCUCCA
rnacentral:tRNA from 1 species